rnacentral:rRNA from 1 species
GAUGAACGCUGGCGGCGUGCCUAAUACAUGCAAGUCGAGCGAACAGACGAGGAGCUUGCUCCUCUGACGUUAGCGGCGGACGGGUGAGUAACACGUGGAUAACCUACCUAUAAGACUGGGAUAACUUCGGGAAACCGGAGCUAAUACCGGAUAAUAUAUUGAACCGCAUGGUUCAAUAGUGAAAGACGGUUUUGCUGUCACUUAUAGAUGGAUCCGCGCCGCAUUAGCUAGUUGGUAAGGUAACGGCUUACCAAGGCAACGAUGCGUAGCCGACCUGAGAGGGUGAUCGGCCACACUGGAACUGAGACACGGUCCAGACUCCUACGGGAGGCAGCAGUAGGGAAUCUUCCGCAAUGGGCGAAAGCUUGACGGAGCAACGCCGCGUGAGUGAUGAAGGUCUUCGGAUCGUAAAACUCUGCUAUUAGGGAAGAACAAAUGUGUACGUAACUAUGCACGUCUUGACGGUACCUAAUCAGAAAGCCACGGCUAACUACGUG